GCUGGAGGCCUUGUGUCCUGAUGUAUAUAAAUAUGUUCAUGAGUAUGGUAAUCGAUAUUGCAAGGGUGGAAUAUUUGGAGUGUAUCAAGGUGCAAGUAACCAUGAAGAAUUGCAUAAUUUGAUGAAGGCGACAUUGAUGAUUCGUCGACUUAAAAAAGAUGUUCUUUCUGAGCUUCCUACAAAGCGUAGGCAGCAGGUCUUCCUCGAUUUGGCUGAAAAGGACAUGAAACAAGUUAACGCCCUGUUUCGCGAGUUGGAGGUGAUAAAAGGAAAAAUUAAGGCCUGCACUUCAAAAGAAGAGGUUGAUGCAUUGAAAUUUACGGAGAAAAAU